rnacentral:rRNA from 2 species
UCGCCAACGAGUGGCGGACGGGUGAGUAACACGUAGGUAACCUGCCCAGAAGCGGGGGACAACAUUUGGAAACAGAUGCUAAUACCGCAUAACAGCGUUGUUCGCAUGAACAACGCUUAAAAGAUGGCUUCUCGCUAUCACUUCUGGAUGGACCUGCGGUGCAUUAGCUUGUUGGUGGGGUAAUGGCCUACCAAGGCGAUGAUGCAUAGCCGAGUUGAGAGACUGAUCGGCCACAAUGGGACUGAGACACGGCCCAUACUCCUACGGGAGGCAGCAGUAGGGAAUCUUCCACAAUGGGCGCAAGCCUGAUGGAGCAACACCGCGUGAGUGAAGAAGGGUUUCGGCUCGUAAAGCUCUGUUGUUAAAGAAGAACACGUAUGAGAGUAACUGUUCAUACGUUGACGGUAUUUAACCAGAAAGUCACGGCUAACUACGUGCCAGCAGCCGCGGUAAUACGUAGGUGGCAAGCGUUAUCCGGAUUUAUUGGGCGUAAAGAGAGUGCAGGCGGUUUUCUAAGUCUGAUGUGAAAGCCUUCGGCUUAACCGGAGAAGUGCAUCGGAAACUGGAUAACUUGAGUGCAGAAGAGGGUAGUGGAACUCCAUGUGUAGCGGUGGAAUGCGUAGAUAUAUGGAAGAACACCAGUGGCGAAGGCGGCUACCUGGUCUGCAACUGACGCUGAGACUCGAAAGCAUGGGUAGCGAACAGGAUUAGAUACCCUGGUAGUCCAUGCCGUAAACGAUGAGUGCUAGGUGUUGGAGGGUUUCCGCCCUUCAGUGCCGGAGCUAACGCAUUAAGCACUCCGCCUGGGGAGUACGACCGCAAGGUUGAAACUCAAAGGAAUUGACGGGGGCCCGCACAAGCGGUGGAGCAUGUGGUUUAAUUCGAAGCUACGCGAAGAACCUUACCAGGUCUUGACAUCUUGCGCCAACCCUAGAGAUAGGGCGUUUCCUUCGGGAACGCAAUGACAGGUGGUGCAUGGUCGUCGUCAGCUCGUGUCGUGAGAUGUUGGGUUAAGUCCCGCAACGAGCGCAACCCUUGUUACUAGUUGCCAGCAUUAAGUUGGGCACUCUAGUGAGACUGCCGGUGACAAACCGGAGGAAGGUGGGGACGACGUCAGAUCAUCAUGCCCCUUAUGACCUGGGCUACACACGUGCUACAAUGGACGGUACAACGAGUCGCGAACUCGCGAGGGCAAGCAAAUCUCUUAAAACCGUUCUCAGUUCGGACUGCAGGCUGCAACUCGCCUGCACGAAGUCGGAAUCGCUAGUAAUCGCGGAUCAGCAUGCCGCGGUGAAUACGUUCCCGGGCCUUGUACACACCGCCCGUCACACCAUGAGAGUUUGUAACACCCAAAGUCGGUGGGGUAA